CUUGAACGCUGGCGGCAGGCUUAACACAUGCAAGUCGAGCGGGGGAGGUUGCUUCGGUAACUGACCUAGCGGCGGACGGGUGAGUAAUGCUUAGGAAUCUGCCUAUUAGUGGGGGACAACAUUCCGAAAGGAAUGCUAAUACCGCAUACGCCCUACGGGGGAAAGCAGGGGAUCUUCGGACCUUGCGCUAAUAGAGGAGCCUAAGUCGGAUUAGCUAGUUGGUGGGGUAAAGGCCUACCAAGGCGACGAUCUGUAGCGGGUCUGAGAGGAUGAUCCGCCACACUGGGACUGAGACACGGCCCAGACUCCUACGGGAGGCAGCAGUGGGGAAUAUUGGACAAUGGGGGGAACCCUGAUCCAGCCAUGCCGCGUGUGUGAAGAAGGCCUUUUGGUUGUAAAGCACUUUAAGCGAGGAGGAGGCUACCGAGACUAAUACUCUUGGAUAGUGGACGUUACUCGCAGAAUAAGCACCGGCUAACUCUGUGCCAGCCGCCGCCGUAACAC
rnacentral:rRNA from 1 species